CCUACGGGUGGCAGCAGUCGAGAAUCAUUCACAAUGGGGGAAACCCUGAUGGUGCGACGCCGCGUGAGGGAAUGAAGAUCUUCGGAUUGUAAACCCCUGUCAUGGGGGAGCAAAUUAAAACGAUUGUACCACAAGACGCAGAGACGGCUAACUCUGUGCCAGCAGCCGCGGUAAUACAGAGGGCGCAAGCGUUGUUCGGAGUCACUGGUCGGAACGCGGGCGGAGGCUGUUGCGUAAGUCGUGUGUGAAAGGCGCGGGCUCAACCCGCGGACGGCACAUGAUACUUGGAGACUAGAGUAAGGGAGGGGGAAGCGGAAUGCGCGGUGUAGCAGUGAAAUGCGUAGAUAUCGCGAGGAACACUCGUGGCGAAGGCGGGUUGCUGGACCUUAACUGACGCUGAGGCACGAAGGCCAGGGGAGCGAAAGGGAUUAGAUACCCGAGUAGUC
rnacentral:rRNA from 1 species